rnacentral:lncRNA from 1 species
GCUCUUCCAUCUGCUGAUUGACAUCACCAUCACCAUAGAUCGUCUUCCAUCUGCUGCUGCUGCUGAUCAUCGGGUAGCUCCAGAGUAGGUUACGCAUCACCGCCACAACGGAACCCCUUUCAUCUGCUGUUGAUCAUCGUUGAUUGAGACCAUCACCACUACCGACCUCUUCCGUUUAAUUCUUAGAGAUAGAGAAGUAGAGAGAGGGGUAGAGUGAAGGGAAGCCGGAAGAAGAGUCGGCCAUGGCCUUCGACCAUCUUCCUCCUGAUUCCAGUGAUAGAAAUAGUAGCUUAUGACAAUGGGUUCGGUUGUAUGUGUUAUGGUGAUAGCGGCGAUUCCGGCUAAAUGAGGUAACAAUGGUGGUGGUUGUGGUCGAAGGUGAUGACGAUGGGUAAGUGUACGGUGAUGAAGACGGUGGCUUGAGGUUGUAAAGGUGACAGCAGCGAUGUUGAUAAAGAACAGGGGUGAUGAUAGUGGUUUCAGCGAAGGGUUGUGGCGCUUUUGAUGGCGGUGAACAGUAAUGGCGGUGAUGAUUUAUGAUGGUUGCAGCUGGUGUCGGGUGCUAUUACAUGUACCAGCUUCAUCUUCAUAUGUUGAUUUGUAGAGCGAGUAAGUGACAGAUUGUGUGCUUUUAUCUUUAGGGUUCUUUUUUGGAAGAGAUAAGUACCAAAUAAUGUUGGGAUGAGUUUUUGAUUUGUGGUUUUUUUAUCUUCAAAUACGAAGAUAACGAGGGUGAUUUUGGAUUUGCAUUAAAUAUUGACUAAAAAGUUAUUGAUUUUUUUUUUUUUUGAAGAGAUAAGUAUCAUUUUACUUUAUUUUUUUCUUUUGAAUUGUAUUGCAUUAAAUAUUGACUAAAAAGUUAUUGAUUUUUUUUUGUUAAUUUAAUCAUUUAUACUGUUUAUAUUUAGUAUCAUAAUUUACCUACAUUUGUAUAUAAAAACCAUAAUUAUGUUUGGCAAUUUUCUACAUAUAUGUAUUAAUAAAAAUACAUAAGAAAAAUCAUGAAUGCACUUUUAACUCCUAAAUUUUCAAUAUGAAAUAAGCGUAUAUUAUGUGAUAGUGUAUUUGUUGGGAUUGAACCCUACCAAAAGAACAGAUAAUAAAAGCCAAAACUGGAUCACAGCAGUAGAUUCAGAAUAAGCAAAUGUUUGGUUGAAAGUCUCUCCCCUUGAAAGUGGUUUCAACAUCUGCUGACCUCCUAUCUGCUGAUCAUGCAAACUGCUGAUCAAGACAAAGUCUGAUAGAAGAACUAAAGCGUUGCUGCUCAAUCUACUGCCAUGCUUCAAGCACUGCUGAUCUGUGACAACCCUCACUAAACCAGGGUGUUAACCCGUUAAGACAAUGUUAUGGGAAUUAAAGAUCUGGCACGGUAUGGUAUGUUUUUCGCUGCAUUAGUCACCGAGGUCAUCCAGGGUUCGGGGAAUGUGACUCUUUCCUGGACAAGUCACAGUCCUUGAAUCAUGUUUAUGUUAAGAUUGAAUUUGUAAUGUUUGGUGAACAAGUUUAUGGUUGAUAGGGUGUUAACCCGUUAAGACAAUGUUAUGGUAUUUUUAUGGAUGAUCUUGCAUAUUUUAAUUCAUAUAGCUUUGUUAUGAUUAAGCUAUGGUAUUAAGAAGUCACACCAAAUUAACCACGCUUCCGCAAAGCCAGGGUGUGACAUGAUCAUGACAAGUACUGCUGGGAUUACAGUAGUGGAAGGAUGCAGCAGCAGUUUAUACUAGUUUAUGUAAUGUAAUGAAAUAUCAGUAGUUAGCAUAGCAGUGUUUGUAUAGAUCAGAGGUUAGAGUUUGUUAGGAGGUUAGAUGUCACUUUCAUGGUGACGUCAACUUUGAUGCUAAGUGGUUUGCAGGUGCGUAUAAAUAGAACAGUACUCUGUACUGUUCUGUUUAGCUCUUUCACCAUCUUCUUUCUGCACGAACAAACACUGAGCUCGGGCUGAGGGGGAGUUUGCAUAUCAUACUUGCAUUGUAAUCAAAGUUUAAAAAUAAAUUUAAUCAUUUGUUUCUUUGUU